UUUGUUUGUCAGCAGGAUUACACAGAACACCAUUUCCUCUGAACCUGGUGGGGGUGACGGGUCCUGGUCCAGGGACAAACCAAGUAAACUGUUGGUGCAGAUCUGAAUCAUCUACUAUGAAUUUGAAUUUUUUUCAUUGAAGUCUGGUGUAUGUUGGUGUGUAUAUUUUAUAAUUCUUUUUCGUGAAAUUCCCUUUUUAACUCAAAACACCUUAAAGAAAUUCAAAUAGGACAAACGGACAGUUAAAUUCAAACGAAGAAUUUAUAAAAUUGUUUUAAACACAUAAAAGAAAUAAACACACACUAAAUGUGUCCCAAAACACUUAAAAGUGCUUCCCCCUACAAUAUAAACACUGCUGCUAGGCAGCGUUAUGACCAAAACAAAUGGACGGUUCACUUGCUGCUGCGAGCACAGUAAAAUAAAAGCACGUGAACAGGAUCCUCACAUCACUGCAGCAGAACUGGUUCAGUUUUCUGGCCUGAAGUGUUUUCAUCACUAAAGCUAAAGCUGCUACAGGCCUGAUAGUCAGACUCACCACUCAGCUCCUCUUCCAG